rnacentral:rRNA from 1 species
AUUGAACGCUGGCGGCAGGCCUAACACAUGCAAGUCGAACGAGUGGCGGACGGGUGAGUAAUGUCUGGGAAACUGCCCGAUGGAGGGGGAUCACUACUGGAAACGGUAGCUAAUACCGCCUACCAUCGGAUGUGCCCGAAUGGGAUUAGCUAGUAGGUGGUGUAAUGGCUCACCUAGGCGACGCUCCCUCGCUGGUCUGAGAGGAGGCACAGCCACACUGGAACUGAGACACGGUCCAGACUCCUACGGGAGGCAGCAGUGGGGAAUAUUGCACAAUGGGCGCAAGCCUGAUGCAGCCAUGCCGCGUGUAUGAAGAAGGCCUUCGGGUUGUAAAGUACUUUCAGCGAGGAGGCGUUACUCGCAGAAGAAGCACCGGCUAACUCCGUGCCAGCAGCCGCGGUAAUUC